ACUCAAAAAUCGAAUUACCUAGGGUUUCUAUUAUUUGAGACCUUUACUUAUUCGAUUUAGUUAAAUUUUAAAAGUUUUAAUAAUUUCUUAUUGUUUGUGGCUGAGUAUUUGGUGUUGAGGAAGAAAGGAUCUUCCAAGUUCAAUCUCAACAAUGGCUGCAGUCACAAAAGGUAAAUUUCCUUCCUUUUAGUCAUUUUUGGGUCUUAUUUGUUGUUUCUUGCCGUGCUUUAAGUUUGCUGUUUAGUUUAAUUAGCUGCUAUUAGUAGUUUUAAGCAUGCUUAGAGUAUAUUUGGUUGCCAUUCUAGUUUUAAAAAUCUUAUAAUAACCUAAUGUAGUUAUGUAUGCUUAUUUAUGUUUCUAAUAGUCUAAGUAUGAUUAAGAUGUUAUGGUUGUUUCUAGUUGAUUAGUAGUUAUGUUUUAGUGUAAUUCAACAUAUUUGUUAAUUACAUUAUAGGCUGAUUGCUUGUUAAUAGUUCAGCAUGUUUAGAGUGUCUCUGUUUAGUACUUAGUUAGUAGUAGUUUAAUGUAAUCCAUACUUUCACUUAUUAUUGAAACCUAUUUAAACUAAAUGGGAUUAGCGUUACCCUUAUUGAUCAAAUCAUGUUGCUGGUGACAUCUUAAGUGGUUCAGUUUGGGUUCUGUGUGAAUAUCUAUUCAGCCCCUUUGUUUAUCUAUUUGGGUUAUUGUUAAUGUGCCUUUUUAGAGUUUCAUCUGUUGCAAUUAGCUUAGCUUAAGCUCAUCCCAUCUAAAACAUGUGUCAAAACUUACUUGUGUGCAUUAUCCUGUCAAAUUGUGUCUAAUUGAUUGAACCCCUAGACAGGAGUCCACACCUAAGUAUAAUACCAGUUGAUUAAAAUGGCAUGAGUAUUAACUUAGAGUAACAAGGUUUGUCUACUUUAGCUUAACAGGAUAUCACUAAGGUCCCUAUGCUAAUUUAUAAAUUAAAAAUGGUAAGUCUGAAAUUAGUAUAAGUUACUUGGUUCAUUCAGUCUCCAACAUGAUAGAGAAGGAUAAGAAUCAAAUGGCUUAGAGGAGUUUAAAUAAGAUCCCACAAAGCCUGAAUGCAACCUCAAUCAACUUGUGAAUGUAUAGUGUCCUUGAAUGCAUGUAUGUACUGUUUAAACAUGGUCAGAAGGCUGUCAUAUUGCAACUGGUAUGAGUUUAGGUUCAUUAAGUAACUAUUCUUACUCUAAAAAGGGGAUAAAUGCACCUGUAGCACACAUAUAGGAGGAUUAAAUGGUUUGUUAACUUUAAGUAAGUGAAAUUCUGUCAUUUGCCUUAUGAUUGGUUCACAUAAGAGAACAUUUUGGUCCCUGUGGACUGACUUGAAUUGAGCUUCUUGCCUGGUUGUCUUGAAUCCUACAUAUCAUCUUUAGUUAAAUCAAAUAUUUAACUUCCGUGCUAUGUAAUAUAGAUCUCUGCAUGUUAACUAGUGAACUCAAUCCAUGUCCCUAUGUUAGUUAAUUGUAAGAAGUAUUACAUGUAUAGGAGUCCUAAGGUAAUGUGUUAAGCCUAGUAUAGGUAUCUUAAGUUUCUAUGUUGACUGCUUGAGGCUAAAAUGUCUAGCUGCAUAUUGAUACUCCUCUGCUUCCCUGCAUUUGAGCUUGUUUCUCUUUUUUGCAUUUUACAUGUUUGUCUCAUAAGCAUCACAUGAAUUGGCAAUGCAUAUUCUUCCUUCAGAAGUAAAGUUUGAACUUAAGAAAUGUUGGUAUUUGUUUGUCUCUUAUGAAAAAACAUGCUUGUUUUUUUCUUUUUCUUCUGCUGAUCAUAUAUAGCUGUAAUUAAGAGUAGGAUCAUUUGAUAUACAUGUCUACGUGCUAGAAGAGUUUAAAAACCCUGUCAAAUACUUAUGCCCGUGACUGUUUUCUUAUGUGAUACUGCAUCUUUCUCUUUUCCUUUGUGAGUCAGUGGGCACUUAUUUGAGUGUGAUUAUUUGUUUUACCUGAAAAGUUUAAAGUUGAUGAGGUUUCCCCUAUGUGGAAUUCGCAUACCAUGGGAUCCUCUAAGGCUAAAUGCAGAGGAUAUACCUAAAUAUACCAGGUAUAUACAGUUUGGUAUAUAGGAACUUGUAUAUUUAGUAUAUACAUAUGGUAUAUCACCUAUGGGGAUUCAGGAUUGCUGUUUUGUGCUCUGUAAUAGUCUUGGCGUGGGCCUGGUCUUUGUUUGUCUAUUUCUUUCUGUUGGGGCCUACCUUCCACGUUAUGAUUAGCUUUUAGUUGGGCCAUGUUUGCUUGUUAUUUUAUAUUUGGGCUUGUCUGUUCUCUGAUCCUUUUCCUCAUGCUUAUAACUUGGCUGAUAUGAUCAUUGCCUUAACAUAUGUGUGUUGUUCUUGCAUUUUUAUUUAAAUAAUUAGUGUGCGUGUAUAAUUAGUCUAUGUAAGUAAGCAGUUAAGUUCUAGAUGCCCUCUAACCAAUAUUUUCCUUUUCCCUCUUUGUGUUGCAUGUAAAAAAAUAUUGUGGUCAUUUGGGUCGUCUUCUCUCAUUUAAACCUGUUGGACCAGAGGCACAACCCUUAUUACCUAAUCAAAUUCGAUGAAAGGGAAGCUAAUAUUUGCAUUGAAGGCCCACCUAUGGGUGAAAAUAGGCAACUGGUGAGCUUAGUGCAUCACUUUUUGUGAUGUAUUAUUUCUUGCAGGAAUUAAGGAGAAGACCAAAUGGUGGAUUGAUGAAAAUAAGACUAAAAGAUGAUUAUGGGAAGAUUUGAGGAGAAGGACAAAGGCAUUAACCACUUGACAUGAAUGUCUUUUUUGGUAAUACUUUUCUAUUUGUUUUCUCUAAGUAGUUUAAAAUUAGUAUUCUUUAAAUUUGACUUUAAAAAAAAAGAAUCAUUUGAUAAUCUCUCUUUCACCCAAUGUAAGUAUCUAAUUUUCUUAUAAUUGGGAUAAGUUAGAUGGCUUAAUUUUAUUUAUACUAAUUAUUUAAUUA